AUUAACUGCUAGGGGUGCCGUAACAGGCUGAGAUUGAGAGUUCUCUUAACCCUUCAAACCUGAUCCGGGUAAUACCGGCGUAGGGAAGCAAUGUGCGUCUAAU
rnacentral:ncRNA from 2 species